UUUGGGAAAUGAUGCCAAAUUUAAAGAUAGUUUCUGAAGAACUUGCCAUGUUGAGUGGUUCUUAUAUUUUGCACGUCAGUCUGAUCCCAAA